rnacentral:rRNA from 1 species
AGACCCGAAACCCGGUGAUCUAGCCAUGGGCAGGUUGAAGGUUGGGUAACACUAACUGGAGGACCGAACCGACUAAUGUUGAAAAAUUAGCGGAUGACCUGUGGCUGGGGGUGAAAGGCCAAUCAAACCGGGAGAUAGCUGGUUCUCCCCGAAAGCUAUUUAGGUAGCGCCUCGUGAAUUCAUCUCCGGGGGUAGAGCACUGUUUCGGCUAGGGGGCCAUCCCGGCUUACCAACCCGAUGCAAACUGCGAAUACCGGAGAAUGUUAUCACGGGAGACACACGGCGGGUGCUAACGUCCGUCGUGAAGAGGGAAACAACCCAGACCGCCAGCUAAGGUCCCAAAGUCAUGGUUAAGUGGGAAACGAUGUGGGAAGGCCCAGACAGCCAGGAUGUUGGCUUAGAAGCAGCCAUCAUUUAAAGAAAGCGUAAUAGCUCACUGGUCGAGUCGGCCUGCGCGGAAGAUGUAACGGGGCUAAACCAUGCACCGAAGCUGCGGCAGCGAACGUAUCACUUAAAGCGAUUCAGCGGGUUACGAUUGACGGAGCGAAGCGACGUCAAAGCGUAUACAAAGUCGAGUCGGUUUAAGGAUACGUUCGUUGGGUAGGGGAGCGUUCUGUAAGCCUGCGAAGGUGGCCUGUGAGGGUUGCUGGAGGUAUCAGAAGUGCGAAUGCUGACAUAAGUAACGAUAAAGCGGGUGAAAAGCCCGCUCGCCGGAAGACCAAGGGUUCCUGUCCAACGUUAAUCGGGGCAGGGUGAGUCGACCCCUAAGGCGAG